CAACAGCUCAGCCACGUUCAACUCCACUGAGAGGGUCCUGCAGAGCCUGCUGGAUCCUUGUUGAAGAAGAGCAGCCUGGGCCCCUUCUCCUUGAGUGGCAGACUGGUCUCCCUCAGGUCUGAGAAGGAUGGGGCAGCCACCAGUGUGGACGCUGUCUUCACCCACCACCCUGACCCCGUGGUCCACCAUGCCUCUGUGCUGGGAGCUGAGAGUCUCCACCUGUCUGCU